rnacentral:snRNA from 10 species
NNGUGUUACAGCUGUUUUAGAAUUUGUCUAGCAGGCUUUCCUGUUUUACCAGAAAGCCCCC